rnacentral:rRNA from 1 species
UACGUAGGUGACAAGCGUUGUCCGGAUUUACUGGGCGUAAAGAGCGCGCAGGCGGUCGAUCAAGUCGAGUGUGAAAGCCCCCGGCUCAACUGGGGAGGGUCAUUCGAUACUGAUCGACUCGAAGGCAGGAGAGGGUAGUGGAAUUCCCGGUGUAGUGGUGAAAUGCGUAGAUAUCGGGAGGAACACCAGUGGCGAAGGCGGGUCUCUGGACAGUUCCUGACGCUGAGGCACGAAGGUCAGGGGAGCAAACGGGG